AGAGCUUCCCAUUGAGCUGACUGUCUCACUGUCUGUCGCAUUGCAUGAUCUUCAUACAGGACGAGUGAGCAUCUAGGGACGGGAUCUAAACACCAGCGGGACAACGGGGUAGAGCGGCCGGGGCUCCAUCACACCCAUGAGAAACAUGGGAGGGAAGGAGAAGACAGUGUUGGUGAUCGCGAAUGUUACCAGUUACCAAGGGUCAGAUGACACUCUCUGCAAUGACAACGGGAAGAAGAACAGCAAAUUCUCCUCUGCAGUACCACCUCCUAUACCUAUGUCUCCCAUUGUGGAGAAAAUGGAGGGUCUCAAGGCCAUCCGUAACCGCAGCAACAGCCUGCGCUUGGGACGGUUAGCAUUUUAUCGACAUCUGGAGAAGGUGGAGACUAUGCGCUGCUUCUGGGAGCUGAAGCAUGUAGAACUGGAAGGCGGCAACCAACAGGCAAAAGAUGCUAAGGCAAAAGAUGAGAAAGACAAAGCCAAAGUGAACCUGAAGGGUGCAAAGGUUCAGAAUAAGACGAAGCCCCUUGACGGAUCAGGUAUGAGUAGUGGGGGGGGGUUUUCAAGGUGCAACUUUUUAUGCGCGUAUUUGUGCGUGUUUGACCUUGUAGUGACCUAG
rnacentral:lncRNA from 1 species